AACGAACGCUGGCGGCGUACUUAACACAUGCAAGUCGGACGAGAAAGGAGACUUCGGUCUCUGAGUAUAGUGGCGUACGGGUGCGUAACACGUAAGUAAUCUGCCCCGAACUCCAGGAUAACCCUCCGAAAGGAGGGCUAAUACUCGAUAGAGUCCCCGAGGUGCAGGCUGCGGGGGGAAAACGGGCCUCUGUUUCAUGCUCGUGGUUCGGGAUGAGCUUGCGGCCCAUUAGCUUGUUGGUAGGGUAAUGGCUUACCAAGGCGACGAUGGGUAGCUGGUCUGAGAGGAUGAUCAGCCACACUGGCACUGAGACACGGGCCAGACUCCUACGGGAGGCAGCAGUGGGGAAUUUUGCGCAAUGGGCGAAAGCCUGACGCAGUAACGCCGCGUGGAGGAUGAAGGCCUUCGGGUUGUGAACUCCUGUCAGGAGGAACGACGGGGAGAGGGUGAUAAAUCCUUUCCUCCAGACGGUACCUCCAAAGGAAGCCCCGGCUAAUUC
rnacentral:rRNA from 1 species